rnacentral:rRNA from 1 species
AAAUGCGAUGGGGGGACGGAGAAGGUUAGGUCAGCCGGGUGUUGGACGUCCCGGUUCAAGCGUGUAGGCAGGUCUCUUAGGCAAAUCCGGGAGAUCAAUGUCGAGGCGUGAUGACGAGUGGCUUCGGCCGCGAAGUGAUUGAUACCCUGCUUCCAAGAAAAGCCUCUAAGCUUCAGUUAUCCAGAGACCGUACCGCAAACCGACACAGGUGGGCAGGAUGAAAAUUCUCAGGCGCUUGAGAGAACUCAGGAGAAGGAACUCGGCAAAUUUGCACCGUAGCUUCGGGAGAAGGUGCGCCCUGAUAGGUUGUAGCCCCUCGCGGGUGAAGGCUGAAAGGGUUGCAGUGAACUGGUGGCUGCGACUGUUUAAUAAAAACACAGCACUCUGCAAACACGAAAGUGGACGUAUAGGGUGUGACGCCUGCCCGGUGCCGGAAGGUUAAGUGAUGGGGUGCAAGCUCUUGAUCGAAGCCCCGGUAAACGGCGGCCGUAACAAUAACGGUCCUAAGGUAGCGAAAUUCCUUGUCGGGUAAGUUCCGACCUGCACGAAUGGCGUAACGAUGGCCACACUGUCUCCUCCUGAGACUCAGCGAAGUUGAAAUGGUUGUGAAGAUGCAAUCUCCCCGCGGUUAGACGGAAAGACCCCAUGAACCUUUACUGUAGCUUUGCAUUGGACUUUGAACCGACUUGUGUAGGAUAGGUGGGAGGCUGUGAAACCGGGACGCUAGUCCGGGUGGAGCCAACCUUGAAACACCACCCUGGUUUGUUUGAGGUUCUAACCACGGCCCGUGAAUCCGGGUCUGGGACCGUGCAUGGUAGGCAGUUUGACUGGGGCGGUCUCCUCCUAAAGUGUAACGGAGGAGUACGAAGGUACGCUAGGUACGGUCGGACAUCGUGCUAAUAGUGCAAUGGCAAAAGCGUGCUUGACUGCGAGACCCACACGUCGAGCAGGUACGAAAGUAGGCCAUAGUGAUCCGGUGGUUCUGUAUGGAAGGGCCAUCGCUCAACGGAUAAAAGGUACUCUGGGGAUAACAGGCUAAUACCGCCCAAGAGUUCAUAUCGACGGCGGUGUUUGGCACCUCGAUGUCGGCUCAUCACAUCCUGGGGCUGUAGUCGGUCCCAAGGGUAUGGCUGUUCGCCAUUUAAAGUGGUACGUGAGCUGGGUUUAAAACGUCGUGAGACAGUCUGGUCCCUAUCUGCUGUGGGCGCUGGAAAUUUGAAGGGGGCUGCUCCUAGUACGAGAGGACCGGAGUGGACGAACCUCUGGUGUACCGGUUAUGACGCCAGUCGUAUCGCCGGGUAGCUAUGUUCGGAAGGGAUAAACGCUGAAAGCAUCUAAGCGUGAAACUCGCCUUAAGAUGAGAUUUCCCCGGGGACUUGAUCCCCCUGAAGGGUCGUGGUAGACCACUACGUUGAUAGGCUGGGUGUGGAAGCGCAGCAAUGCGUUCAGCUAACCAGUACUAAUUGCCCGUGAGGCUUGAUCCU